GUGCAUGGGAAGUAAACAACUCACUUGGAAACCGUGUUAUCGUUACGGCAUAUAGUGAAUUUGAAAGCAAUUAACUCUUUCAUAAUACGCUAUUUAUAUAUUUAAUUCAUCGUGUCCGCAGCUUGAAGUGAAAGUACAUACGGAUACAAAAACAACCCAACCGGAACUUGUAUGUUGAAAGUCGUCUGAUUUAAUAGCAACUCGGCAUCGCACACUAAUAUGAAUCGAGAUCGCCUUUUGAAGGUAGUUGUCGUGGGUGAUAAUGAAGUGGGGAAAAAUUGCAUUUUCACCAAGUUCAAGGAGAGUUUCAGAAAAAUACCUCUAGAGCAUGAGCCAACUUCAUUUGAUAAUUUUUCAAAAUUAAUUGAAGUGGAUGGGAUUAUUUACCAUUUAUCUGUAUCGUACACUACCAACUCCACAGGCUGCGACGAGUUGCGCAUUCUCUCCUAUCCCAAUACGGACGUGUUUCUGCUUUGUUACGCGAUUGAUAAUCGACAGUCUUUUGAAAAUAUCUCAUCAAAAUGGAUUCCCGAGUUGAAGCUUCAUAGUCCUCACACGCCAAUCGUUCUAGUCGGUAUGUGUAACAACAUCAAAACGAGCCCUAUGUGAUUGAAUAAUUAUUCACUCCAAUAUUUAUAGCAACAAAGAAAGAUAAGCGGAACAAAAAAGAUGCCGAUGCAAACUAUGUCUCCUACGCCGAAGGGGCAGCAAUCAGCAAAUACAUGAGCGCUUUUGUCGAGUGCUCGGUCAAGACGGGAGAGAAUUUAAGAGCGGUCUUCCGAGAGGCUGUUCGGGUGGCACUAGAUAAACCCAAGGUUACAUUAAUUAAGUGUAGUCUUCUAUAAUAACAAAGAACAAAUGACUACUAUCACACUGAUAGACCCAGUUUUUUCUAAAAAGGUAAUCAAUGAGCUUGAUUGCUCAAAGAGGUUUUCGUCAGUUUCAGACGAUAAUACCGGUUUAAUACUAGAAUCACCAAAUUGCCUGUUUAAUUGUUUCGAUUUGCGUAAUCGCUUACCGUAUACGCUUAUUGACAUUUCUUUCGUUGAAAUAAUAUCGUACAAGCCCUGCUGUACAAUUUAAUAAAAGUUUACAGUUUGCGCGUCUAUAACUCUGUAUUCUACAAACUGCUUGUUUAAAAGUAUUUCAGUACCUAUACAUUUAACGGCCCAAAAUUUGAAAUUGAUACAAUGACAGUCCCAAUAUUUUCCCCUUCAAACGCUAAGAAUCAAUUUGUAGCAGAUGUUGCGGUUUGGUCGGUGCUCGGCGGUUUAGUAAGUAUGGCGUUGAGCGGACGGAUAAAAUGGAAACCCAAACCUUCGAAAAACUUGGUGGAAGCCGUGUUGCCGACGACAAUGUUGACGAACGGGAGAAAGCCGGACUGGGCCAUUCGCUUGGACAUGUAAAGUGUCACCACACUCUCGUCCUUUUUCGGGCUACAUAUUUGUAGCUUUUUCCCAUUUCCCCUCCGUUUCAAAACUUCAUAGAAAUAAAUAGCACGAUUUUGUAUUGAGCGAUAUAUUAAUAAUUCUGGUUUGCUAUAUAGAUGAUAACUUGGAAGUUUGUGGAUGACAACCGGAAGUGUGUAUAUCCGCCCACAUACACUCGGUGCUGCUGUAUAGAGAGUCCCAUACUUUACACAUCAGCGGCGAAAAGCUACACUGAUGGAGAAAAGAGAGAAAGAAAAGAGCAGAGAGAAACUUGAUCUUUAUUACACCGAUGCUGCUGCUGCUGAUACUGGGUCGUUGCAUUUUUCACUAACCUACGUCUCA
rnacentral:misc_RNA from 1 species